rnacentral:rRNA from 1 species
CUACGGGUUGCUGCAGUGAGGAAUAUUGCACAAUGGGGGAAACCCUGAUGCAGCAACGCCGCGUGGAGGAUGACGCAUUUCGGUGUGUAAACUCCUUUUAUGAGUCAAGAAAAUGACGGUAGCUCAUGAAUAAGCACCGGCUAACUCCGUGCCAGCAGCCGCGGUAAUACGGAGGAUGCAAGCGUUACUCGGAAUCACUGGGCGUAAAGGACGCGUAGGCGGGAUGUCAAGUCAGGUGUGAAAUCCUAUGGCUCAACCAUAGAACUGCACUUGAAACUGGCAACCUAGAGUAUGGGAGGGGGAGAUGGAAUUAGUGGUGUAGGGGUAAAAUCCGUAGAUAUCACUAGGAAUACCGAAAGCGAAGGCGAUCUCCUGGAACAUUACUGACGCUAAGGCGUGAAAGCGUGGGGAGCAAACAGGAUUAGAUACCCUCGUAGUC